UGGACCUGUGAUGACCACUGGUACUGUAGGAGUUGUGGAUCAUGACGACAAGUCUGGUAUUCUGAGGUCCAC
ensembl:snoRNA